CCUACGGGAGGCAGCAGUGAGGAAUAUUGGUCAAUGGACGAGAGUCUGAACCAGCCAAGUAGCGUGAAGGAUGACUGCCCUAUGGGUUGUAAACUUCUUUUAUAUGGGAAUAAAACGUUCCACGUGUGGGAUUUUGUAUGUACCAUAUGAAUAAGGAUCGGCUAACUCCGUGCCAGCAGCCGCGGUAAUACGGAGGAUCCGAGCGUUAUCCGGAUUUAUUGGGUUUAAAGGGAGCGUAGGUGGAUUGUUAAGUCAGUUGUGAAAGUUUGCGGCUCAACCGUAAAAUUGCAGUUGAAACUGGCAGUCUUGAGUACAGUAGAGGUGGGCGGAAUUCGUGGUGUAGCGGUGAAAUGCUUAGAUAUCACGAAAAACUCCGAUUGCGAAGGCAGUUCACUGGACUGCAACUGACACUGAGGCUCGAAAGUGUGGGUAUCAAACAGGAUUAGAUACCCCUGUAGUC
rnacentral:rRNA from 1 species